UUCCUUCAAAACUGAAAAUGAGAAUUUAGGUAAUUCCUGGGUGCUUUCCAUUGUAGAGAGAUUCUCCCCAUUCUCUUUUGGCAAAACCGUGAACGAAAACUUGGGAAAAGGUUCCUCUUCUAGGGAACCUUGUUUGUCAGUUUUUUCGAGCGUCAUAGUGGCAUCUUGCUUAUGUUCAUUCGUGCCCUCAGCAGAGGGUUUCUCGACUUCAACUAGCGAAGUCGAUUCCGAUACUGAGAUAGGGCUUUUCUCAGCUUGCUCAAAACUCCGUUGAUCAAUAGCAACGUUCGUCAUCUGAACUUCUGGUUCAAUUUUAGCAGCAGGUAAUUCCGGUUUCUGUGUAGUAAAAGAUGCACUAAACAGAGAGCGUUGUUGAGGUUUCUCCUCUUGACCAGCAGGUUUAUUGAAUGACCCGAAUGAAAAUCCAGUAUUGGGCUGAGAUAUCAUUGUCGAAGACGAAGCUUGAUUUGAAGAAGACACCUCACUGUUUUUCUCAUCGGUCACGGCUUCAAAUCUAAAGACGGGCUUCUCAGAAGUUGAAGCUUUGACUUCGGUUGCAUUUUUUUGCAAAUCUUCGCCUUCAUUGGCAACUUCCACUUCAGCAGAAAUCCCUGAGCCCUCUUCUUCUAAAUCAACGUCUAUAGUCUCAUUGGGCGAUCUGGCCGGUUUUUCUUUAUUAAUGAUGGAAAAACUAGUUGCCGAAGGAGUUGUAGUAGGUGCAUUGAAACUAAACGUUGAAGAUACAGCUGGAGAAGGCUUGGUGGAAGCAGCCGAAGGAGCAUUAAAGCUAAAUAUUGAAGAAACAGGUGGAGAAGGUUUAUCAGUAGUGGCUGAAGGAGCCUUAAAAGAAAAAACAGGAGUUUUAUUUUCUGGUUCGGAAAGCGCAGUCUUCUCUGACAGUGAAGUUUGUUCCCCUUCUUUCUGCUUCGCAAACGACCCAUGAGUGGAAGCCUUUUCCAAAAAUUCAGGCAUAAGGCUAGGUUUGUAUGUUUGCACAUUAGACGACUUUUCAAGUGUUUCAAAAGCCGAUGGCUCUUUUUUUUCGGGCUCGCUUUUUUCGGAAGAUGGCCGAAUUUGAUCAUGGCGUCGACGAGAGGUGGUAAUUCCAGGUCGUGCAUAAGGACUGAUAUAAGAUGCUUUGGAAGGUGCGCUUUGUGGAGAUCCCGCCUUGGCAGUAAUAGAAGGGGUGUUUUUUUCUUUGCUAUCGAGUAUACUCAACAAACUGGCAGCAGCACGACUGGGUGUUUUCUCUGGAUGAUUCGCAGUGGUAGAUUGGUGCAAUGGAGAUGAAGUAGGAACGUUAGUAAAUGAUGUAUCAUUAAAGCUAACAUUUGCGGAUUCGUAACGGGCCUUCUUUGGUUGAAAGCUCAAUGAAGGUGCAAUGGAGUUACUUAAAGAGAUAGGGGUAGUCGAAUGUCUCUUAUGGCGUAAACGACGAUUAUAAGGAGUGGACAAAGUAGGUCCAUAAUAGCUGAGUCGCUGAGCAGGUAGAAGAGAAUUAGGAGAAAUUGUCGAUAGCUGGUCUUGCUCACGAAGAGGAGAGAAGGUAGAACGGAAAGCAGACCACUGUUUAGCAGAAUUAGGGGUAUUGCCGGGUGUCAACGAUGAAGUACGAGCGCGUGGUUCACUCGAAACGCCAGACUCACGCUUCGAAAUUGCAGCAGCCCUUGGAGUUUGGAAACGAUUUAAUGAAGCAGCUGGAGAGAUUACAGAAGAACUGGGAGAGGCACUUUUGUUCAAAAUACUAAUGAUGCCCUCCUUUUCAAUCUCAUUAAGUGGUGUCUUUCCCUUCUUGGAGAAAAAAUUGGCUAACAUUUGAUUAGGAGAUUGCUCAACAAUGGAAGGAGUAGCUUGAGCAGAAGUGUCACGGUGCUCUUGCUCGUAUUUCUCGGUUACAGGUGUAUUUAUUAACAUAGAUACGUCUUCCGUCGUAGUUGAGACAUUUUGAAGAUAUUCCUCAUCUGUCUUGGAAUCAAAAGAGUCUUCGUGUUUGUUCACGACAGGUGAACUAAAUAUCGAGAUUGCCUUUUUCCAAGACGAAGGAGUCAGCCACUCUUUGGCACGCUGGAAAAUCGAUUUUGAGGGUGUUUGAGGGCCAUUACUAUGAUUUCCGUCUUUAGAAGCUGCAAUACGAUCGUAAGGUGUGCGAUUUCGCGCGGCUUUACCCUUAUGUAAAGUUCGAAUAGGACCAGAAGACAUAUUAAGAAUGAAUUAAAACAAAACUUAUUGUAUUCCUAUUUUAGAGGAGCAAAAUGCUCGUUUGUUGGGUAUUUUGAAGCCAAAGGUCGCUUUCGGUCGUCAAGUGAAGAUUAGUUCUUUGGAAUGGCAAUAUGGAAUGAAAAGUCGAAGGCAAUAACGAAAGUUUGAUAAAGUUUUUAAUCCUCGGAUAGUGAUAUUCAUAUAGUUCGUUAUCCGGUGACAAUGGAGAAAAUGUACGAAAACACAAAAUGAGCGUAUUAUUGCUUAAAAAAAAAACAGUUUAUUAAUGAGAAAGUUAAAUUAUUAUUAUUCUAGAUGUAUAUAUAUUAACUUUUGAAACACGGUUUUACGCUUUGUUUGCCAAAUGAAAUAAUCGAGUGUUUCAAUCAAACGACUUAAAUUCUUGGAAAAGGUAACUU